rnacentral:lncRNA from 1 species
CAAAGCGUCUAGAGACAGGAAUGGAUCCAAUUAGUUAUGUGGGUGGUUUUAUAUCUGUAAUACGCAUGCGCAUUACUCCCUCAUGGACAAAAAUCACAAAAUGGCUGCCACCAACUGAGUGUUUUUCAUAUUUCUAGUGCUGUCUUUGUGGUUCCAGGCCUUUUUGCUAGUUGUUUGCAUGAGUUGGAUCACUGAUUAGACUAAUAGAACCUUGCAUUAGAAUGUAUCUUCUAAUUAUUCUUGUGUGAGGAAAUGGGCUUUUUAGUCUUUCCUGGGUUAUCAUUUGUUCCUUCCACCACAAUUACUCAUUUCAGAACUGCAUUUUAUACCUUGCCAGCGAAUUGGAUCACCAGAGGUUGCUCAUGAGUUUUUGCUUACAUGUGUAGUAGGAGACUAGGAGCUCAAAAUGUCACGAAAAGCUAUCAGUAUUGUUCAUGGUGGUGGACGAAACUCUGGAUACUAUAUUUGGAGAUGUUGAUAACAUUUCCCCAAGACUAGAUAUAUUAUCAACUCUUUAUUUCCCUUGGCACUACUUAAUGUGACACCAGUAUAUUUCUAGACUCAACAGAAUAACCUGAAAUCAAAUGUGUGGCUAAACAAGCAUUUAUUCAUGUUUGAACUGUUUUUUUACAUUUUUGUUUGAGUUAUGAACAUUAUAAAUUGAAGUACAAUU